UACGGAGGGGGCUAGCGUUGUUCGGAAUUACUGGGCGUAAAGCGCACGUAGGCGGCUUUGUAAGUUAGAGGUGAAAGCCCAGGGCUUAACCCUGGAAUUGCCUUUAAGACUGCAUCGCUAGAAUCGUGGAGAGGUGAGUGGAAUUCCGCGUGUAGCAGUGAAAUGCGUAGAUAUGCGGAGGAACACCGAUGGCGAAGGCAAGUCCCCUGGACCUGUACUGACGCUCAUGCACGAAAAGCGUGGGGGAGCAAACAGG
rnacentral:rRNA from 1 species